CUUACACAUGCAAGUCGAGCGGGGGAAGGUAGCUUGCUACUGGACCUAGCGGCGGACGGGUGAGUAAUGCUUAGGAAUCUGCCUAUUAGUGGGGGACAACAUCUCGAAAGGGAUGCUAAUACCGCAUACGUCCUACGGGAGAAAGCAGGGGAUCUUCGGACCUUGCGCUAAUAGAUGAGCCUAAGUCGGAUUAGCUAGUUGGUGGGGUAAAGGCCUACCAAGGCGACGAUCUGUAGCGGGUCUGAGAGGAUGAUCCGCCACACUGGGACUGAGACACGGCCCAGACUCCUACGGGAGGCAGCAGUGGGGAAUAUUGGACAAUGGGGGGAACCCUGAUCCAGCCAUGCCGCGUGUGUGAAGAAGGCCUUAUGGUUGUAAAGCACUUUAAGCGAGGAGGAGGCUACUCUAGUUAAUACCUAGGGAUAGUGGACGUUACUCGCAGAAUAAGCACCGGCUAACUCUGUGCCAGCAGCCGCGGUAAUACAGAGGGUGCGAGCGUUAAUCGGAUUUACUGGGCGUAAAGCGUGCGUAGGCGGCUUAUUAAGUCGGAUGUGAAAUCCCCGAGCUUAACUUGGGAAUUGCAUUCGAUACUGGUGAGCUAGAGUAUGGGAGAGGAUGGUAGCAUUCCAGGUGUAGCGGUGAAAUGCGUAGAGAUCUGGAGGAAUACCGAUGGCGAAGGCAGCCAUCUGGCCUAAUACUGACGCUGAGGUACGAAAGCAUGGGGAGCAAACAGGAUUAGAUACCCUGGUAGUCCAUGCCGUAAACGAUGUCUACUAGCCGUUGGGGCCUUUGAGGCUUUAGUGGCGCAGCUAACGCGAUAAGUAGACCGCCUGGGGAGUACGGUCGCAAGACUAAAACUCAAAUGAAUUGACGGGGGCCCGCACAAGCGGUGGAGCAUGUGGUUUAAUUCGAUGCAACGCGAAGAACCUUACCUGGCCUUGACAUACUAGAAACUUUCCAGAGAUGGAUUGGUGCCUUCGGGAAUCUAGAUACAGGUGCUGCAUGGCUGUCGACAGCUCGUGUCGUGAGAUGUUGGGUUAAGUCCCGCAACGAGCGCAACCCUUUUCCUUACUUGCCAGCAUUUCGGAUGGGAACUUUAAGGAUACUGCCAGUGACAAACUGGAGGAAGGCGGGGACGACGUCAAGUCAUCAUGGCCCUUACGGCCAGGGCUACACACGUGCUACAAUGGUCGGUACAAAGGGUUGCUACACAGCGAUGUGAUGCUAAUCUCAAAAAGCCGAUCGUAGUCCGGAUUGGAGUCUGCAACUCGACUCCAUGAAGUCGGAAUCGCUAGUAAUCGCGGAUCAGAAUGCCGCGGUGAAUACGUUCCCGGGCCUUGUACACACCGCCCGUCACACCAUGGGAGUUUGUUGCACCAGAAGUAGCUAGCCUAACUGCAAAGAGGGCGGUUACCACGGUGUGGCCGAUGACUGGGGUGAAGUCGUAACAAGGUAGCCGUAGGGGAACCUGCGGCUGGA
rnacentral:rRNA from 1 species